GUCUAUGGCCAUACCACUCUGAAUGAGCCCAAUCUUAUCUGAUCUCAGAAGCUAAGCAGGGUUAGGCCUGGGGGUCUGCUUAGUAUUUGGAUGAGAGAAAUGUAAUAUAUACA
rnacentral:rRNA from 1 species